rnacentral:rRNA from 1 species
AUUGAACGCUGGCGGAAUGCUUAACACAUGCAAGUCGAGCGGGCUGUAGCAAUACAGCUAGCGGCGGACGGGUGAGGAAUACAUAGGAAUCUGCCUCAGAGUGGGGAGUAGCCGGGAACCCGGGACUAAUACCGCAUGAUGUCGUAAGAACCAAACGACGAGGGGACCGGUAAGGCCGUUCGUCGCUUUGUAGAUGAGCCUAUGUCGGA